rnacentral:rRNA from 1 species
CUUUNAAAGGGAGCCGAGUAUGAAUGGNUCUNCGGAAACAAGCUGUCUCUUUUUGGNUAUAUUGAAGUUUCUUUAAGGGUGCAAAGUCCCUUGAUUAGAAAAAAGACGAGAAGACCCUUAGAGUUUUUAUUAAAGAUAAGAAUUUAUUUAAGUUUUUGCUGGGGCGGCAAAGAGACAAAGCAAUUAAACUCUCUUUUUUAUUGUUUUUAGAAGACGAAAAUGUUAAGAAUCAUUAAACUACCUUAGGGAUAACAGCAUAAUUAAAUUUUAGUUUGUGACCUCGAUGUUGGACUAGGAAGGCUUUUGACCAGCAGUCAAAAAGUGUGGUUCUGUUCGAACUAA